UAUUAGUCACACCUGUGCUUUUCUUUGUUUGACAAGCCAAAAUGUCUGCUUCAAAGACCAGAAUCUGUGAGGAAUGUUUCCAGCACCUUGUUGAAGCUUUGCCACAGAGAAUCAAGACCACUCUGAAGUCAGGAGGGGCCCCAACUUGCCACUAAUAAAAUAAGCUUGAUAACGUCAGUCCCUCGUAGCGUGAAAAGGUCAACCCGAAGUGAUCCCCUGUGGGAAGCCACUGUGGUUGUGCCUGUGCUGAGGUCAGCUGGAUGUGAAGAGGCUAAUCUGAACUUCAAUGUAUGUUAUUUUCUCCUGAUAAAGCU